rnacentral:rRNA from 1 species
UACGUAGGGGGCAAGCGUUGUCCGGAUUUAUUGGGCGUAAAGGGCGCGUAGGCGGUUUCUUAAGUUUGGAGUGACAGUGGGUGGCUUAACUACCCAAGGCCUCUGAAAACUGGGGAACUUGAGGACCAGAGAGGGACAUAGAAUUCCGGGUGGAGUGGUGAAAUGCGUAGAUAUCCGGAGGAAUACCAAAGGCGAAGGCAGUGUCCUGGAGGGUGACUGACGCUGAGGCGCGAAAGCCAGGGGAGCAAACGGG